GGGGUUUCAGUCCGCGGACAGGAAGCAGAGAUGCCAGCAGUGUGUGAGCGCGUUACGAUGUCAUAACCCGAGGCGGAGGACCCGAAGAGGAACUGAAACUCGAACUGGCCAGCAGAACACGGACCCGCGCGAAUCCACAAGGUCUCACAAACCAUGGGCUGUUCAUCCAGCAUUAAAGUCAAGUCCAAGAACCCCCCAGCUGACGCCUCCCAAGUGGACACAGUAGAUCCGAUAGAACCGGAAGAACCCAAAGCUCUGACUCUGCUAGAAGUGGAGAGGAUACAUGAGGACAAAACCGGCGGUUCGCAGGAGGGGCGAGAGAAGCUGCCCCAGGUGCCAGAUCUCAGAG